UGAGGAAUAUUCGGCAAUGGGGGCAACCCUGACCGAGCAACGCCGCGUGGAGGAUGACGGUUUUUGGAUUGUAAACUCCUUUUCUGUGGGAAGAGCAAGGACGGUACCACAGGAAUAAGUCACGGCUAACUACGUGCCAGCAGCCGCGGUAAUACGUAGGUGGCAAGCGUUAUCCGGAAUUACUGGGCGUAAAGCGCACGCAGGUGGUUUGCUAAGUUCGACGUGAAAGCGCCUGGCUUAACUGGGCGAGGUCGUUGGAGACUGGCAGACUAGAGGUGAGGAGAGGGGUGUAGAAUUCCCGGUGUAGUGGUGGAAUGCGUAGAUAUCGGGAGGAAUACCAGUGGCGAAAGCGGCACCCUGGCCUUGGCCUGACGCUCAUGUGCGAAAGCGUGGGUAGCAAACGG
rnacentral:rRNA from 1 species